rnacentral:rRNA from 1 species
GAUCAUGGCUCAGGAUGAACGCUGGCGGCGUACCUAACACAUGCAAGUCGAACGGGGUUAUUUUGGAAAUCUCUUCGGAGAUGGAAUUCUUAACCUAGUGGCGGACGGGUGAGUAACGCGUGAGCAAUCUGCCUUUAGGAGGGGGAUAACAGUCGGAAACGGCUGCUAAUACCGCAUAAUACGUUUGGGAGGCAUCUCUUGAACGUCAAAGAUUUUAUCGCCUUUAGAUGAGCUCGCGUCUGAUUAG